rnacentral:lncRNA from 1 species
GCGGGGAAGGCGGGGGAGCCGGGACGUCCAAGUGUGAUUGUAGAAAAAAGAGAAGAGUGAGUUGCUGGAUUUUGGAAACGUGUAUAGAGACUGAUAUGAAGGUUUGUUUCACAAGCGGGAUUUAGUAUUUUUUUAAAAUUAUCUGAUGUAAGUGAAUGUCUUGCAUGGAGUUGGCGCUCAACAAAUAUUUGUUGAAAAGAAUUGCACCUGCUACGCUUGAUAUUUUCAAGCAGGAGAAAGUCCAGGCUCUGUGCUGGAAUUGGUUAGGUGGAAUAAAAUGUUUUCCUGUUGGUUUGGGAGAUAUGAGAGUUCUGAAAACUCUACUGCAACAAAGCUUAAGCAGAUGGUCAGGACAUUUGGUUAAACCUAAAAGCGAAUUUUUGUUAACACCAUGCAACCUCCAUAUAUCUUUCAGGUAAUAACCCUCAAUCGGGAGUUCCUUAGAACAAAAAUGUGACCUCUGUGUCCUUGUAAAUAUUUUGCAUGACCUUCUGUAAGGCACUUUGCUUCUCAACAAGCCAGUUUUCUCAUAUUAAAAAUGAGAAGUUGUCUUGUCUGAGUUUGCAUAGAUAUUUAAGCGGCACUGACUCAGGCUUACUGGGGAUUUUGACCUCUGAGAUAAGAGCUGGAUUUAAAAAGCCAGUCCAAACCAAACACCUGGCAUUAUUAGCAUUGGUAUUCCAUUACAUCUGUUCGCUUGAUAGAGAAGCUGGGAGCAGAAUUGGGGGGUGCCCUAAUGGCCCAGCCUGGUGAGAGGUAGGAUACUCCGUAAAUAUCCCUUAUAGACUGACAUACCUCUGGAGCUCAGGAGCCAGCUAAACAGAAAAUUCCCCAAAUACCAGGAGAUUUGGUUGUCUGGGCCUGGAUGGAAGCUCCUUGAGACUUCAGACAUGUGCUGGUUCUUUCAGAAGUAAUUUGUGUCAAGAGGGGGUCGUGUCCAUGUGACAGUCUUUGUAAUGUGAGCCGCGUACCAAUAAGCAGAAUCCUCUUUGAUGAGGAUGAAUUUGAUAGCAGAGAGAUAGGUUUGUGUUUGUUUGUUUCCACCAAAACCGAGGUGUCACCUUCCCCUUUCACCCCUCUGUUCCCACCUUCCUGGCUCCCUCUUACCGGCCCCACACAUUGAUUUUAAUUUUCAACACUUAGCGCCUGACUUAGUGAUCUAACAUCACUGACUCAGAGAACGGGAAAGGUCAGUCUGACUAACACCUCACCCAGAGUCCUGGGAUUAGCAUCCAAAACAAACAGAUCAGAGAUGGGCUGUGGACUCCCAAGAGACGAUUCCCACGUGUGAGAAAGCCCAGGAGAAACGGAUGGCGUUUCUCAAGCUCACUGACGUCACUCAGGUUCAUGAUCCAAGGCUUUACCUUACUGAGGUUGGGGGUUGGAAUGCUACCGGAAGAGCAGAAGAGCUGGGCUGGUGGAUUAAAAAAAAACCAGAGGGAGGGAGGGAGGGAGAGGAGCUCUUUCUGCUAAUCAAAGGAGAAACCAAAUUAAACGAAUGAAGUCCAAGAAAAAUACAACUCUAUUGUUUUGGGGGCAUAAGAUGCUGGCUUGGAGGCUUCGUUGAGUAAUCUCAGUCACACCCUUUCUCUGUGGGACUGAAGGAAUGUUGGCUGUUUUUCUGGAGGCCAGGUGGGAGGUGGGUAGACAGGUCUAUGGAGAUGAGAAUUUCUUGGAGCUAGAACUCUCUGAACAUCCCUGUGGCCUUGCAGCUGGGAGGCUGGGACAAAAAGAAGCAGGAAUGUGGUGCCGAAUUAGAGCCAGGACGCAGCGACCCCAGUAAAGGAUCUGGGAGCAGAAAAAGGUGGAAGAAAACUAGGAAACACGGAGAGAAAUGACCCUGUUCUUUUUGGCCACAUCUGAACAGGGGCUUCUGUGUCCUCAAGAGCCCCUUGGCUCCCUUUCAUUAAACCUUAGGGCGGAUGCCCAGGGAGAGGUGGCGUGUCUGAGUCUGGGGUGCGACGGGAAGCAGGAAGUACCAGUCAUUUCACAAGAAGCCUUGACACUGGAGAGAGAGCCAGUGAAAACUGGCAGACCCCCAAGGUGGGGUAGGAAAGUCUGGCCCAGUGUAAAGAACACUUGGCUUCACAUAAUUCUGUGGGUAUAUUAAAAAACAGGGCAGUCCACAAAGUUGUUCUGCCAGCCCACCUAAAACAUCACUUUCUCUUCCCCAUCCUUGAUUGUUUCUCUACGAUGACAUGUCAGCUGCUGGUGGUAAACUUCCAUGGCUCAAGGAAGGAUUAACGUGACCAGAUGUCUUGGCAGGAUAGUCCUUCCCAAUAGCAAGUUCUUGAAUAUAAUUCUCAUGAAUGUAUGUAGGCUUUUGGUGGACUCUGCUACCUUAUUUCAUCCCUCCUUCCACCCCACUCUUUCUCCUUCUCUUUAGAUUUUAGCAAGAAUCCUAAUUGUGUAGAUACAGCUCUGGAAUCAUCUGCAGCUCUACUUUUGGGAGAGCUAUACUGUUCAAUCAGCCGGUGGUCCGUUUCCUUCUGAACAUGUCCAUCACUUUUCUAGAUCCUUGUCUCUUUCCUGGGCUGGGGACCCCUCACCCAAACUCCAGCUCCAGCUCACUAAACUCUAACUUAUCUUCUUCAACUACUAAUGGCAAAGAUUCAGAAUAUGCUCCUUCUUUUUCAUCUUGGAUGUAAAAUUUACCAGAUUUAUCAACGAUGUCCUAUCUUGGUGUGUCUGAAACUGUAUCCCUUUGAAAAAGACAAUUUCAUUGGGGUGCUUUCAAUUUUUUGCAAAACUCUUGUUCACAGUUGGGUUUGUUUCAGUCCUCACAUCUCUGGAUUUAUGCCAAUGGGUAUUAUUACUUAUCUUCUGCACAACAGCACUCUGGUUUGAGAACUCUUGGGUUCUCUCUCUUUUUUUGAUCAACUUGCUAUGUGACUUUAGAAAAGCUAUAUCACAUCUCUGGGCCUUAGUUGUACCUCUUACUCAAAGGUAUUUCUUCAGCAAAAAUUAAUGUCUACUCACUCUUUCUUUUGCCUUUCCCAAGGCUGGGAGGCUUACCCUGGAACUCUCUGACAUCAUCCCUGAUGGAGGAGUCUGGGUAGAGUGAGUUUGAAGGCACUUAGGAUGAAGCAAGAGUUGGAAGCAGUCACGAGUGUUUUGGGCUGAAAGAUGGCAGUCUGUUUGCCUUUAAGGAAUCCCAUGCCUUACCUAGAAUCAAAGAAGAGCUAAUCAUCGAUGGGGCUUUAGCCCCAGAACUUUCAGGGUUUGAAUUUGUAUGGCAGCCACCAUGGAAAAUAUCUUUGAGCUAAACAGAUGAGGGAUGAACCAGUCUGGAAAUAUUUCCACAAUGUCAAUAGCCAUGUUUACAGUAGAGCAUAUGGACAGAGUUUAGAUUUGAUAAAUUUCCAUCUCUUUUUAAAAAAAGAUGAUCCAGCCAACAAAAGGUAUACCUUGACAAGUGCUCUUUUCUGAAUUCUAUUUGUCUGAUAUGGCAUAGAAGUACCCAACUAUGGCAUUUUAACAUUUUCCAGUUCCUUACCACAACCAUACCAUCCCGUGUUCUCAAUUAAAAAUCUGAGCACUCAAAGUAGUGCUUUGCAGAAGAGUCUUUGCCAGCUAUCCAGAAAACAAUUCAGCUAUCCAGAAAACUGUCAGUUUGAGGGUGACACUCUUAGUAUUGGGGUACAGUAAUGGCCUCAACUAAGAAUGGAGCAUAGGAAGCCAGGGCGGUGAGAAGGACUUAUUGUUGGCUAUGAUCUUAGCUAUAAUUGGGAGCUAAUUGGAUGCCUUCUCUAAAAAUACUACUACUGCUAAUAAUAAUAAUAAUCCUUGAAUUAUUUGCUGAAAAGCCACUGCAAGUAAAAGCUUUUCACUAAACGUGCCAUGUUCACUGUUGCUCAUUUCACAAUGGCAUCACAAGGUGGCCAACCUGCGUUUCCAGCCCGAUUCUCUACAAUGGGAGAUAACAGUAGGGCCCCUCUCAGGAGGGCACUGUGAGCAUUUGAGCUAGUGGGUGUCAUGUGGAAGAGUUCCUGGUGUCCAAUAAAUACUCAGCGUAGGUUAAUUGAGUAAGCUCUAUGCCCACAAUAAGUAGAGGGCAAGCUGAGGCUCAGAACAAUAAAAUAACACAUCCAAGGUCACAUAGUGGUAAGUGAAAGAAUUGAGAUUGAAACCCAGGUUUGUCUGUAACUGUAACCUGGCUCUUCUCAUUUCCGAAAGACGAUGGUGAGAAGCCCUGGAGAGCAACUUGAAUGACCACCGAGUCCUGAUUUCCCAUGUCACAGGUUUCCCGUGACAAGUCUCUUGAAAAAUGUGGCUUGGAGAAAAGGAUAAGAAUACAAGAGCCAUGCAGGAGAGAGUAAUAACUUACAAAUAUGUCUCAUGAUUGGUUACUGUAUGAUCUUUUCAAAUUUUCUGGAUAUUUGAAAUGUUCAUAAGAAAUUGUUGGAAAAAAAUAUGGCACAAUGGAAGGAAAAUGAGGCUUAUGCUGAAGACAAGAGGGCCUUUGCUCAGCAACCCAAACUGUAAUCUCAGCAUUUUCUAGAGGUGAGAAGGGUAGUGGCCUGAAGCUCUGAGCACCUUUUCGGGGGGCCUGGUCUCUGAGAGUUGCUCAGCGUGAUUCAGAGGAUAUCUGCCGUAGGUGGAAGAUAGGUUCUCAGGAACAAAAAGCUUCUUUUCCCAAAACAUUGCUGAUCUGUAGAUUACAUAAUGUAGAGUUAUGUGUCUGCUGGGAGGUUGGCAGGAGCCUGAACAUGAUAUGUUGAUAAUACAUGGAGUCUUGCAUGCAAACUUUGUUUAUGUGCUGGGCCCUCCCUCCGAGUCUGGGGCAGGUAGCUGGCUGCACAGCCUCCAUCAGAGCCUGGAAGAGUCAGUAUUUUAUGGACACUCAUGUUUAUUUUGCUGUCUAACUAUGCUAGCCAAUGUGAGUUUGGUUAAAGCAAAGCACUGUAGAGAGAUGGAGAAAGCAUCCUUUGAUACAGAGGCAACUGCACUUCCAUAUGUAUCUUCCUUGUCAGAUGGCAUCCCUGUGCGUGGAGGAGGGCCCACCCAUGGUCCGAAAGGAGACGAGAACCCUACUUUGAUGCUUUAUCUAGUUGCCUAAAAACUUUGUUUUUAUGUGAAUGCUCAUAAAUAUUUAACCAAGUUUUGUGUCAAAGUUGGCUGUUGUCUUCUGAGAACUGAGAACUGGCAUUCCAUCUUUGAAGGGAUAGCAGAAAGACACAGCGGCAGAAAGUCUGCCACUUCCAAGCCAUCAGAUCUGAGUGGGAAAAGAGACCAGCCCUUCUCAAGAAGCCUUCGCCAUCGCAGCCAAAAGGGAGCUCAGGCCUCAGGUUGAGGCAGGUUCCCAUGAAACAGCCAAAUGUUUGCAAAACAAGCACCAGGAUGAAGAAGCUCAGUCUGCAGAGACAUCCCAAGGUUGCGACAGUCUUGGAAGAUGUGAGAGUGAGCUGAUGGAAGAGCCCUGGGGAGCCAAGGCUGGGAGGCAGACCUGCCUGGGAAAAGCAUGGUCCCCCGUGCUCCCUGCCUGGGACGCAGUGUGCUGAGCAAGGAAGGGCUAACUGGCUGAGAUAAUUGUCCAGUGUUUAUAUUUGAAAAGGGAUACCACACUUCCAGGAUAAUUCCCUCCAGCCUCCUCGUGAGCUAAGAUUUCCAAUUGGUCUAGAAUCCUGAAGAGAAAUCAGGGGCUGAUUACCUGGCCGGCUGGGCUGCAAUCACACCUUUCAAUACUAAUUAUCUGCUCUUUGAGUUCAAUGACAUUGAGCAUCCAGGCUCUGGCUGGGGUGAACCUUGUUCAGUGGUUUGCAUCAUUGGCUUAAGACAAUGAUUUGAAUGGACAAAGUACCCGCGCUGUGCCUUGAUAAGCAGGAAAUGAAUGCUUGUUUGCAAAUAAGAUUGGGAAAUGUGAUCAGCUUCUUGUUUGGCAUCUGUCUUUGGGUAACUAGCCUGAUAAUACUAAUGCAAAAAUAAUAUGUUAGAAGACAGCAGCAAGGGAACCUUUUUUUAUGACCCUCCCUCCCAACUUUCUGUACCUGAAGCAAAGGCAGAAGUAAAUGAAAUGUUGUUUUGUGUGUGUUUCAUCCCACUGAAAGUAUUCUAGCUUGAAUGUUUCUUCGUGGGUAUUCAGGGAAAUGGAUAAUGAUCUGAUAUAAUGCUUUUUCAGUGUUGGGAUUUAUUCAUAUACAUGGCUUUUUCUAGAUGCCUGUCUCUGUUCUCAGCCUUCUGUGACCCCUUCCCCCGGGAAGCCUUCCUUCACGGCAUAGAAUAAAAAUUUUACUUCUACUUUGAUGCAGUUUAAUCAGGAUUCAUCUUACAUAAACAGCUUUGGUGUGGAUUUGUUCAAGUAGCAUAUUGCUUGGUGACUGGAAUGCAUUAUCGGGCAGCUCAUGGAGGAUUAAGAUAUGGGUUGGGUGAAGAAGGGAGAGAGAUUAUAGGCCAGUUAUCUGUUGGAGCUGCCUGCAUUGGUGUCCAUCUUAAUGUAUCAUUUCUGAUGCAGGAGUACUGGGGACAAGGAGUAAAUGUUCAAGAAUGUUACUUUCAAAUCCUGACCUCUUGAUCAUAAAUUAGAGAAAGCUAGUGUCAUGAAUUUUGUCCCCCUAAAAGCUGUUGAAGUCCUAACCCCGAGUACCUCAGAAUGUGACCUUAUUUGGAAAUAGGGUGAUUGCAGAUGUAAUUACUUAAGAUGAGGUCAUACUGGACUAGGGUGGGCCCCCAAUCCAAUAGGAUUGGUAUCCUUUUUUUUUCUUUCCAAAGCCCCAGUACAUAGUCGUAUAUCGUAGUUGUAAGGUCUUCUAGUUCUCCAUGUGGGACACCGCCACAGCAUGGCUUGAUGAGUGAUGUGUGGGACCACACCCAGGACCCGAGCCGGCGAACCCCCGGCCACCAAGGCAGAGCAUGUGAACUUAACCACUACACCACCAGGCCAGCCCCAUGGUGGCCUUUUAAAAAGGACACAGACACAUAUGGAAGGAAGAUACAGGGAGGACACCAUGAGACACAGGAUUGGAUUGAUGCACCUCAAGCCAAGGACACCCGAGGCUACCAGAAGCUAGGAGAAUGACGUGGGACAGAUCCUUUCCUAGUGCACUCAGAGAGAGCAGGGCCCUGCUGAGACCAUGGUUUCAGACUUCUAGCCUCCAGAGCGUUCUGAAGACUGGAAGUUCAAGAUCAAGGCACGGGCAGAUUCAGUGUCUGAUGAGGGCCGGCUUCCUCAUAGACGGCUCUCUUCUCAUGGUUCUGAGGCUGGAUCCCUUGUCUAUUUUAAAAGUGGAGAGACGUGGGCCCAAGACUGCCAUGUGACCAAACCUCCAUCCUCAUGCUCAGAACUGGCUAGAAGCCUAAACUGAGUCAGAGGCUGUCACCCUGGUCCAAUCUGGGAAGAAUCUCCCCUGUCCCAAAUAGAGCUCCCUACGUCCCCUGCUGAGAUGCUCCAAUCUUUCGGGAGAGUUGUCCCUUUCAAGAAUGACCUGUAAGCAGCUGCCCCAUUGCAAAAGUGUCAUCUCAAUGCCGUCAUCGACCAUGAGCACACACUGCCAUUUAAUUUCACCUUUAGGAUUACCUGGCACUUCCUCAAGCAAAGUCACCUUGGAACAAGACACGGGAGGGAUCACUCUCUGCCCUUGUCCACUUUGUUCUUGGAAGGACAUCAGUGGGUUCCCUUGCCCUCUGGCUUCUGGUUGGAUUCACCCAAUGGAGAGCCCUGGCAGGAGAUUGGAAGAAGAGAGGAUAGUAAGGUCAGAGUAUUUGCUCCAUUGGCUCCUUCUAUGAGAACUCAUCUUGGGUUGGCUGCUUCCCCCAACGGAAGGUCAUUGGCCUUCUAAAGCGGGACAAUUCAACUUUUCCUUUAAGGAUUAGCUAACUUCUGCCUCUCCUCAUCUCUUUGGGUUUAGAAGUGGUAAGCCCUAGGCUACUGCACUGUGUCUUGUGCUUCUCCUAUACCCACACCUUUGUAAAUAGUCCCUGUGUAGACAAACUCUUCUCAAAUUAUCCUUUUAAAAAUAUACCAUCUACUUUCUGUUAUGGCUCUGACUUAUAUAAAUAUGAUGCUAAUGACUUAGAACAUAAUAUAGACAAAAAAGAGAGCCAGUGAGAACUUUUUGUAAAGGUGUGGUAUUACCUGAUUUACAUUAGCAAGAAACCAUUUAUUUAGGAUGGCUAGAGUAAAUCCUUUGGAGAAAUAGGAAACAGGAUUAUUUCGAAAUCACGUGUAUGUAAGAUUUGGGCGCAGAUUCUUACUGUCCAUGGACCCCCGUGAGAUCCAUAGAUAGAAUUCAGGGAGUCCAUGAAUUAGGAUGCGAAAAAAAUUACAUUUUUAUUUUUUCUAACUUUUAAUGAAAUUUAGCAUUUCUUCCGAUUAUGAAUAUAUGCAAUAGUAUUGGCCAUACCUGGGACAUUGCCACCCAUAGAAAUAGCAGAUAUUUUCAUAUCAUGCUGCAGUAUUGUAAAGAUCUCAAAAUAUUAUCUAUACUCAUCAUUACUUCAAAAUUUUGAUAGUUAAUAGACCCACAGCCUAUUUGUUAUCAGAUGUGUUGAUAAAGAAGCAUAUAUAUCAUACAUGACAAUUUUGUUUUCUAAAUAUUUGGAUAAAUUCAUUUCAAUAUAAUUUAUCUUUUUCAUAAUUCUACAUAUUUCAAGUUAUGCACUUAAAUGUACAAUUCUGAGAAGGAGUCC